CCCGGCCCACCGCUUCCGCCCCCGUAGCUUCGGUCGCUGCCCGGAGCCAGCGGGUCCGCGGCUGGCUGCGCUGAGGAGUCCGCGGGCAGGGGGCGGUGCCGCCUCCCGGGCCGCCCGCCGCCGCUACCGAGAGAUACCCAAAGCCUCUCAUCUCCUUCCUGCACUGAAAUGAAAGGUAAAUAUCAGUGGUUCUCAAAGUGUGGUUCCUGGACCACAGCACUGCCAUCCCCUGGGAACUUUUAGCAAUGCAGAUGCUCAAGCCCCACCUCAGACCUACUGAAGCUGAAACUCUGGAGCUGGACCAGUGAUUUAACAAACCCUCCAGGCGGGCAGCAAAUGGUGACAGCUGUACCAGGCAUCACAUCCAAAUGCCACGUCAUCCAGAGGCAGCAGAUAGGGGCUGUCUCUCCUACAGUCUACUUCUCAGAGGAGGUCUGUGUUACUUCUCCAGUUGAUCGAGGAGGAAAUGGAGGCACAGAAAGAGGCUCCCCUGCUAUGAGGAAAAUGGAAGACUGGCCAACAGGAGCGUCCUGAUGUGCUUGAGAGUGGAUUUGCUGGAUGUGUAAGCUGGUUUUCAGGAAUUUGAAUUGCUCUGGUGUGAAACUGAGUAUAUGCCAUGGCUGGCUGACGGAGAACAAGAACUUACAGACUGAGAGAGGCAGUGGUGAGCCAGAAGUUACAUCACGGUGCCUGGAGCAUCAUGGCCCCAUAAAGAACAACAGUCUGUGAGGUCCACACCUUCAACAUUUGAAUGUUGAAGAAGGCUCUGAGUUUAUGUAAAGCCUUUGACGUUGUGAGAACAGACUUAGAAGCCAGAUUGCUUGCAUCCAAAUCUGGACACCACCACUUACUGGAGUGAAGUAUUAUAUCUGAGAAGAUCUGAAGUGCUCGGGGCAGUAAACAGGGCUUUGGAGGCUGUCUGGGGAAGGAAGCAGGGAGCAGCAAAGGAGCUGACUAGAAGAGGAUUUGGAAGGGAACCAAGAUACCCCUUAGGAAUUGAAGAAGUCUUGUGGUGUGUGAGGUCAAUCCUCUCUCCAUUCUCUCCAACAAAACCUUCAGUAAAUUGUCUCUUCUGUGAGUGCAUUGUGGAUCUGUCUUGAGGGGCACAUCAAAUGAGUGAGAGAGACAGAGCACAAGCAAAGGAGGGGCAGAGAGAGAGGGAGACACAGAAUCCGAA